rnacentral:rRNA from 1 species
GAUGAACGCUAGCUACAGGCUUAACACAUGCAAGUCGAGGGAGCGGCGCCCGGGUGAGUAACACGUAUCCAACCUGCCCUUUACUCGGGGAUAGCUUUUCGAAAGAAAGAUUAAUACCUGAUAUAAAGGAUGGGGAUGGGUUCCAUUAGGUUGUUGGUGAGGUAACGGCCCACCAAGCCUUCGCUGGAUAGGGGUUCGGAGAGGAAGUUCCCCCACAUUGGAACUGAGACACGGUCCAAACUCCUACGCGAGGCAGCAGUGAGGAAUAUUGGUCAAUGGUCGGUAGCCUGAACCAGCCAAGUAGCGUGAAGGAUGAAUGCUUAUGGGUCGUAAACUUCUUUUAUAUAAGAAUAUGUAUUCUAUGAAUAAGGAUCGGCUAACUCCGUGCCAGCAGCCGCGGUAAUUC